CAACUUUCAGCAACGGAUCUCUAGGCUCUCGCAUCGAUGAAGAACGCAGCGAAAUGCGAUAAGUAAUGUGAAUUGCAGAAUUCAGUGAAUCAUCGAAUCUUUGAACGCACCUUGCGCCCCGUGGUAUUCCGCGGGGCACGCCUGUUUGAGUGUCACGU
rnacentral:rRNA from 1 species